UGGUUAAAUGAAGAGACUUAAAUGAGGGUUGAGAGUCCAUUUGAUGCAGCUCGCAUUGAGGACCAGCUCUCUCAACCAAGAAGAUCGGCCCAUAUUAAAGCUCAAUGAAACCGAGAAGCCGUAUCGACCAUCCUUGGAGAGUUGCAGUCAUCGAUCUAGAAAAAUCGGUGCCCCCUCAACUUCCUUGGAGGCCUAGGUGAGCAACUAACGGAGUUUCUAUCUUUUCCUUUUCUGUUCGUUAUUUCCAACCCAAUUUCGACCAUCCUACAGUGCUUAUUUCAGAAAACGCAAAACAUAUAAAGUGUAGAUCCAGAAGUCUUUGUUCAUUUGGCUUUGGAAUCAGGUUGAUCCGAUCUAUAUCAACAAAGAUACGACUGUUCUAUUGAGCCUGCUCAGUGUUGAAAUUUCUGUUCGCCCUGUUUUCCCGUGUGCAAGUCACUCUCCCGAUCCUAUUGUUUGAGAAAGCCUACCCUUGGCUUGCAUCAUUAUUGCUCAAAAGCCAUUGAUUAUGAUGAUGAAAAAACUUCGAACACUACCUAUCGAAUUAUCUUAUUCGUCAACCAUGUGUGCCAAAUCUUUCAUACAAGUUGUAUUUGAGAACUACUUUCAUGUUAUCGAAGCACAAGAGCCAUGGUCAAGUUCAAUCAAACUCUUGUAGACCCUCAUUUCACAGCUUGUCCAGCCCAUCGAGAACAUUACAGGCCUAUUUGGUUCUUGAGAUAGUUUCAUUCGAUGAAACUGUGUCGUAGGUAGUAUUUUGAAAGCUCACAUGGAUGCAGAAUCUUGUGUGAUACGGCAAGAUAAAAUCAUUUUGCCAAAUCUUGGUCUUAAGAAUCCAAGAUCAAAAAUGUUAUGCAAUUGACAUAGCAUGUCCUUAGUGACUAACACUAAACUCCUGAUGGCCCAAGUAUUGAUGGGGCAAUUGCUGCAUACCCAAAUGCAUUAGACCCCAUGCAUGCAAUAUGUCGGAUAAUUUGAGUCUCACUAGGAAUUCGUAAGAUCCAAGAAAUCUUGUUUACUGGAUCUAUAUUUUCUGGCUGCGGCCAAUAAUUUUCUGUACCAGUGGCCCCCGUAUGCCCUUUUGAGUUUGCUCCCGCACUAUCAUGGUUGAGAUUUCGUGGUUUAAGCUUCACAAUGAACCUCAAAAGUUACUGUCCUUCCUUGUUCAAAGGUGCGUGAUGAAUCGAAUUUAUCGCGCUUGUGAUGGGAAACGGUCAGACACUUGAAGAGUCCCAAACAAUCCAUUCCUCACGAAACAAAAUUGUAAUGAAAAAGAUCUUUGGGUGAAAACAAUUGAAAACGUCCCAUUUAUUAUUUUCACUCUUUCCACGAGGACCCGGCCGAAAUCAGAACAUGGUUUUGACAAAAAUGAAACUAUAGUUCUCGGUUAGAAAACAUGUUUUUUUUUUCUUUUCUAAUCAAACACAAUAAUUACGAAUAUACACAAGUAAAAACUAAAAUUAUUCUCAUUUUCAUAGGCAUAUUUUGAGAAAUCACGUGCGGUCUAUAUAGAAAAUUAAAGCAGUGACUGAGGUUGAAUCUGCCUUGAUCUUAGCUAUUAGGCCUUAAUGGAACUUAUUACAAAAAACCCAUUGUCCGCUUGAACCAAAGGUUAUAGAUGCUAUAACAAAACUUCGUAAGAAAAUAACUAGAGAAAUCUAUGAAGAUCGAAUUAGGUCUCAAGAUAAAAAUCGGUCUACCAACCACAAGAAAAGUGGAAAUGAAAGCAAUGUAGUUUCGAGUGAAUGGAUACUCCAAGAUAGAACAAGAAAAGUUGAAUCCGAUUAAUUCAACUUCUAUGACUUUGGAAUAAUUAGAAAAUUACAAAAAACGAAAUUAUUCAUUUUGAGCAACAAAGUUCGAUUUAAUCAAAUUUGACAACAGGUUUUCUAACAAGUCUUGCAAGGAGCUUUUGGAACUCUUAAUAGUUGGUUGAAUAACGAGUUACAUUACUUGCCCUGCCCUCGACUGUCUGGCGGGAUCUGGGUGCACGCACCAUAGCCCCACCAUCAUCAGGCACUUCAUCUCCUCCUAUGGGAACUCCGAGUGCAACACCUCGUCAACCGCGCGCCGAGGACGUUGCUAGCAAGGUAGAGUUGCUAGACCCACUCGUGUAGUGAGACCUGGAUCUCUGUUCUCAUAGCUCCUCCGGCCAUGACACCAAAGCUAAACAUGUCGGACUCCGGGGUGGCCUUCCCUCCAAUAAAGUAUUUUGGCGCUAGAUACCCGCAAGUCCCAACCACGUCUGCUGUCUGAGUCCUGAAUCGGGGGUCGACAAGCUUGGCCACUCCAAAGUCGGCAAGCUUGGUGCUGAAGUUGGAGUCGAGUAGUACAUGGGCUGCCUUUAUGUCCUGGUGGAGCACAUAUUGCUCGAGAUCAUCCUCAUAGCUCCUCUGGCCAUCAUGCCGAAGCUGAACAUGUUGGACUCCGUGGUGGCCUUUGUGGGAUGCAAAACGUGCAAUCCCAAGAUCUUCAUAACCAAAACAAGAGCACAAAUGAUUGAGUAAAAAGAUUAACGCACCUAUUUUGAAAUCUAUCGUUCUUGAUGAGGAAGUAGAAAAAUGAUGAUCCACUCGCUAGUCAUUCUCCUCUAUUGUCCUUUGUAUUACUGACUUAAUGAGCUGGUCCCCUCACCCUUUAGCGCUAGGUAAACGCUCCUUAUGUGAGGAUCUUUGUAAGAAUUAGGGUUAGAUGAGAGAUUUGAGCACUAUUUAUAGAAUUUUCAACUAGGUCCUCUCAUUAUAAGCUAGGCUCAACUCGGCCCACAUUAGCCAGUCCCAUAUUAGACUAAUAAAGAAACAUUUUAUUUCACUUUAGACCAACCAACCCCGUAAAAUGGUAAAUUACAAUAUCAAUUUAUGUAGCCUACAUCUUGAAAACUCUUACAUUCUCUCACUUGGGCUAUAUUAAUUGAAAUUGUACUGUAUGUGCGCAUAUUAGUUUAGAAAUAAUUAUUAAUAAUCAAUUCCAUCCCAUAAAGUUUUUUUUUUUUUUUUGGUGACCCAGGGAACCCCUGCACAGCCGACAGCUGUGAAGUAAACAUUGGGAAGGCACGUAGGAAACCACCACCAACGCACCCCGGGUAAGUCGCCAAAUGAUCCGUCAGCCUCCUUGCAACUUGCGUUGCAGGGGCUUUGAACUCUAGACCUCCUACGUGGAAGUCUAGAGCCUACCCAACGGAGCCACCGCGACGGGUGGUUCCAUCCCAUAAAGUUUCAAACACCAAAUCAUGACAGUAAUUGCAUGUAUACACAUAGAGCCUUCCAUGAUCAUGAGUGCUUUUAACUUUAUUGAUAUGGAUUCAAUAUGGUAGUAUAGCAAAUGGAUAAUACCUCUCACAGAGAAAUCCCAUUUGUCAAUCAAUGUUCUCUUACAUUAAGUGUCACAAAAAACUUGUGCCACUAGAUAAUGUCUUUAUGGUUCCAAUGAACUCACACAUGCCUUAUUUUUAUGGUUAACAUUUCUUUAUAUAUAACAAGACAUAUGCAUAAGGCUAAUAACCGGAUGCCCCUAGCUUUCACUCAAGGUUUAUACAAUACAUUGAGACUUUUAUUAAUAUGUAUUUAACAUAAUAACAACACAUUAAAAAAUAUUACUAAAUGUAACAAACACAAAUGUAAACUUUAUUGCAGUAAAACCGAAAGAGCUCCCACUAAACAACAAUAUCUCAUGAUGCUUUUAAGCUCAUGUUAAUGACAUGUUGCUCAAACACACAAUGGCAUAGGCAUUUAGUUAGUGGAUCUGCAACCAUAUUAUCCGUGGAAAUAAGUUAUAUUAUAACGUCACAUUUUUUUACGUUUCUUUAUAGUAAAAAAUUUGACUACCAUAUAUUUAGACUCUUUGAGAUGUCUAUCGUUAAUAAAAAUACUAUAAAUUUAUUGUCUCAAUACAACUGUAUGAGUGAAUCCAUAAAAUUAAAAAUGAUCAACUCCUUAAUGAGGUUUUGGAGCUUAAUAGCCUAAGUAGCAGCCUAAAAGAAUAUUACAAACUCUGCUUAUAUAGUAGGAGAUGACAUAGUGUUUUAUUUACUGCAUUUCCCGCUAACAUAAAUAUGUAUUAUGUUAUUGGUCUUGUAUCAUCCUAAUAGCUAGCAAAGUUUUUUACAUCUAAAUAUCCUGCUAGCUACAAGACUUGAACAUCUAUGUAAAUCAUCAUACAUUAUACUUUUAAGUACACUGACACAUGGUAUACCCUUUAACUAGAUUUUCUCAAUAUCUUAAUAAAGACAAUGUAAUAGAUUCAGUUCAUUGCCCUUAAUGAUAAGAGCAAUUUCUAGCUUACAAUGAUGUAUAUUGAAUAUUUCCAAAAUACGAUCAACAAAUGUCAUCUAAGAUAAAUCCAAUAUAUAUGGCGAGGACAAUCUUUACGGACCUUAGUGCAAAGGACAAAAGAUGUAUCGAGAUCACUACUUGUAAGCAAAAUAUCAUGUAUAUAAAAUAUGAGAAAAAUAAAUUUUCUCCCAUUGAUCUUGCAGUAUAUAUAUUAAAUUACUUUGUUCCAAAUUAAACGAAAUAACAUCACUGAAACUUUAAUAAUAUUGUCUGAAAACUUAAAAUUAUGAAUAAUAAUUUUCAGUUUACACACAAGUUUACUUGAAUCAUUUGCUACAAAAUCCUCCGGUUACACUAUAUAGAUUUUGUUAUCGUGUCUAUUUAAAAAGAUAGUAUCUAUUUGGCGUAACUCCAUAUAAAAAAAGAGCUAUUAAUGUCAUGUUCACUUUAAAAGAAUUUUUAAAAAUACUAGAAAAAAAUAACUGUUAAUGUCAUGUUUAUUCUGAAAGAAAGGUUCUUGCUCACAGAAUUGUAGGUCACUACAAUAUCGAUCGCUUUCCCGCCGUGCAAUCGGGGAUCCUAGUGGUCAUAACAAGCGAAGAGAGCUGGUUCUUAUUGAUUCCUAU
rnacentral:lncRNA from 1 species